rnacentral:rRNA from 1 species
GACGAACGCUGGCGGCGUGCUUAACACAUGCAAGUCGAGCGGUAAGGCCUUUCGGGGUACCCGAGCGGCGAACGGGUGAGUAACACGUGGGUGAUCUGCCCUGCACUUCGGGAUAAGCCUGGGAAACUGGGUCUAAUACCGGAUAUGACCUCCUAUCGCAUGGUGGGUGGUGGAAAGAUUUAUCGGUGCAGGAUGGGCCCGCGGCCUAUCAGCUUGUUGGUGGGGUAAUGGCCUACCAAGGCGACGACGGGUAGCCGACCUGAGAGGGUGACCGGCCACACUGGGACUGAGACACGGCCCAGACUCCUACGGGAGGCAGCAGUGGGGAAUAUUGCACAAUGGGCGAAAGCCUGAUGCAGCGACGCCGCGUGAGGGAUGACGGCCUUCGGGUUGUAAACCUCUUUCAGCAGGGGCGAAGCGCAAGUGACGGUACCUGCAGAAGAAGCACCGGCUAACUACGUG